rnacentral:pre_miRNA from 1 species
GAAGUACUCCCUCCGUUCGGAAUUACUUGUCGCGAAAAUGGAUGUAUCUAGAUGUAUUUUAGUUCUAGAUACAUUCAUUUCUGAGACAAGUAAUUCCGAACGGAGGGAGUAGUCU